UACAGAGGGGGCAAGCGUUGUUCGGAAUUACUGGGCGUAAAGGGCGCGUAGGUGGCCUUCUAAGUUGAACGUGAAAUCCCUGGGCUCAACCCAGGAACUGCGUCCAAGACUGGGAGGCUUGAAUCCGGGAGAGGGAUGCGGAAUUCCAGGUGUAGCGGUGAAAUGCGUAGAUAUCUGGAGGAACACCGGUGGCGAAGGCGGCAUCCUGGACCGGUAUUGACACUGAGGCGCGAAAGCCAGGGGAGCGAACGGG
rnacentral:rRNA from 1 species